AGCAGGUAUGUGUUUAUUGGUGAUGCGCGUACACCCUGGUGCAAGGGGGAUCGUUCCACCUAACUUGCACACCGUCUGAAGAAAUCGUGCUAUAGAAAUAGGUCAAACUAAUACAUAAUCAGUAGUUGACAGGAAUUCGGAUACAUAUUCACUACAUUCCCGAGAGCCCAUUAGCAUACAGUCCCUCCCCCCCUUGCGCGUGCGUAGGAGGUCGUGAUGAUGAAGGCUCGUAGUCUUCCUCGCAAAGGCUCAUAGUCCUCCUCGCUGCAAACUUCUGACCCUGAAGGGGGGGCAUCCCCCGAACUGGUUUCAGCUUGCACUUCAGACAUCUAAUCACCUCCCUGCCAAAUGUUUUUGAGCUGUUCUCCGGUCCUUAUCUUUAUGGCCUUCAUUCUCCUUGUUAUUCUGGACCUAGCGCCUGUGAAAGUGCUUGGAAUCCCUUGUUUUCUAAUACUCUCUACAUAAACUAUCUCUAUUUGCCCCUUAUGUCUACCUUGUGAAGCUGCUUUCUCUUUUCUUGCUAUGAAGCCCUUCUUUCUAUACUGCAGGGAACUGAUUUUGCCCUUCUGGCUCUGGGAAGACUGCUAAAGGAUCAGGGGUGCAAGUUGUGUUCUCUUCUGUCCUCUCAGUCAGUGUCCGGGAUCCACACAAAAGGAGGAGGGUGGACAUGCUGAAAGAAUAGCUUUGUGAAUGGUGUCAUACUCAGGGCUUUGGGUACUAUGGUUUGGGAUGCAGCCUUGAGAAAGGGGGAAUGCUGAUGGUGGACAGGAGCCAACUGACUAGAAGGGCCACAAAUAUUCUUGGGAGCAAGCUGGCUGGGCUGGUUAGCAGGGCUUUAAACUAGACAUGAUGGGGGAAGGGUGUGUACUGGGUGACAGAGAAGUGUGUGGGAACACUGUCACCUUGGGAGGCAGUAAGGGAAAACCCCAGACUUGUCCUGUAGGUAGUAGGGAGGGCUUCUCCGAGAAGGCACUGAGGCCAGUAGCUUAUCUGAAGUUCCUCUAUACCAGUGCACACAGCAUGGGAAAUAAACAGGAGGAGCUAGAAACUGUGGUGCAAUUGAGAAAGUAUGACCUAAUUGCUAUCACGGAAACAUGGUGGGAUGAAUCCCAUGAUUGGAAUACUCUGAUUGAGGACUACAGGCUUUUCAGAAGUAAUAGACAGGGUAGGAGGGGAGGGGGAGUUGCCCUCUAUGUUAGGUAGUGGAUAUAUUGCAAAGAGCUGUGUCUGAGGAACAGCCACAAUCAGGUUCAGAGCUUGUGGGUUAAAAUCAAGGAUCAGUCCAGUAAAGGGCAUCUAGUGGUUGGGGUCUGCUAAAGGCCACCUGAUGAGGGGGAGCCUGCUGAUGAGGCCUUAUUGCUUCAGCUGCAGGAGGUGUUAUGCUCGCAGGCUCUUGUCCUGAUGGGGGACUUCAACCACUCAGAUAUCUGCUGGAAUAGUAGCAUGGCGGGUGGCAGGCAAUCCAGGAGAUUCCUGGAGUCUGUCAAGGACAAUUUCCAGGUAAUAGAUAGACCAACCCAAGGUGAAGCCUUACUGGACCUGGUGCUCACCAAUGCAGGGGAGAGCAUUAGAGAAGUUAAGACUGGAGACAGCCUGGGCUGUAGUGACCAUGCCUUGGUGUAGUUUGUGAUCUUGAAGAAUGCAGGCCUGGCAAAAAGCAGAGCUAGGACCUUGUGCUUUAGGAGAGCAAAAUUCCAGCUGCUCAAGGAACUGCUGAGGGGGAUCCCCUGGGAAACUGUCCUUAAAGGCAUGGGUACAGAACAGAGAUGGCAGCUCUUUAAGGACACCCUUCUGAG
ensembl:lncRNA